rnacentral:rRNA from 1 species
GACGAACGCUGGCGGCGUGCCUAAUACAUGCAAGUAGAACGCUGAAGAGAGGAGCUUGCUCUUCUUGGAUGAGUUGCGAACGGGUGAGUAACGCGUAGGUAACCUGCCUUGUAGCGGGGGAUAACUAUUGGAAACGAUAGCUAAUACCGCAUAACAAUGGAUGACACAUGUCAUUUAUUUGAAAGGGGCAAUUGCUCCACUACAAGAUGGACCUGCGUUGUAUUAGCUAGUAGGUGAGGUAACGGCUCACCUAGGCGACGGUACAUAGCCGACCUGAGAGGGUGGUCGGCCACCCUGGGACUGGGACACGGCCCAGACUCCUACGGGGGGCAGCAGUAGGGAAUCUUCGGCAAUGGGGGCAACCCUGACCGAGCAACGCCGCGUGAGUGAAGAAGGUUUUCGGAUCGUAAAGCUCUGUUGUAAGUCAAGAACGAGUGUGAGAGUGGAAAGUUCACACUGUGACGGUAGCUUACCAGAAAGGGACGGCUAACUACGUG